rnacentral:lncRNA from 1 species
UUUUUUUCUCAUAGCUAAAUCUUUUCUAUCUUGUUUUCUUCUUUGAAAAACAUCAAAUAUCGCAAAAUUCGCAUAAUUCAGUGUACGAAGAGGACCUUGAUUUAUGCUGUUGUGGUAAUUAUGCUAAGUUGAAGACCUCGACCACCCCAACAAACCCAUGCCGCCGAUUUUAUGGUUGUAGAAUUUCAAGAGUGAGUAACUAAGUUUCAUUGAUUAUAAAAUUUUUCGCUUUUUACUUCUUAUUAAUCAGUAUUAUGAAUGCAUUUGUUGUUAUGAAAAUUGUGGAUGUAAUUAUUUUAGAUGAUUUGAUGGUCCAUCUAUGAAUCUAUCGCAGAGGGAGCAACUAACAAGUCAAGCGAGUGAAAGUAAAAGAAGUUGAAUAAGAAAG